rnacentral:rRNA from 1 species
AGUGAACGCUGGCGGUAGGCCUAACACACGCAAGUCGAACGGCAGCACAGGAGAGCUUGCUCUCUGGGUGGCGAGUGGCGGACGGGUGAGGAAUACAUCGGAAUCUACUCUGUCGUGGGGGAGAACGUAGGGAAACUUACGCUAAUACCGCAUACGACCUACGGGUGAAAGCAGGGGACCUUCGGGCCUUGCGCGAUUGAAUGAGCCGAUGUCGGAUUGGCUAGUUGGCGGGGUAAAGGCCCACCAAGGCGACGAUCCGUAGCUGGUCUGAGAGGAUGACCAGCCACACUGGAACUGAGACACGGUCCAGACUCCUACGGGAGGCAGCAGUGGGGAAUAUUGGACAAUGGGCGCAAGCCUGAUCCAGCCAUACCGCGUGGGUGAAGAAGGCCUUCGGGUUGUAAAGCCCUUUUGUUGGGAAAGAAAUCCAGCUGGCUAAUACCCGGUUGGGAUGACGGUACCCAAAGAAUAAGCACCGGCUAACUUCGUGCCAGCCGCCGCAGUAA